UACGGGGGGGCAAGCGUUGUUCGGAAUUACUGGGCGUAAAGGGCUCGUAGGCGGCCAACUAAGUCAUACGUGAAAUCCCUCGGCUUAACCGGGGAACUGCGUCUGAUACUGGAUGGCUUGAGUUCGGGAGAGGGAUGCGGAAUUCCAGGUGUAGCGGUGAAAUGCGUAGAUAUCUGGAGGAACACCGGUGGCGAAGGCGGCCUCCUGGACCGAUACUGACGCUGAGGAGCGAAAGCCAGGGGAGCAAACGGG
rnacentral:rRNA from 1 species